CUUUUAUAAACAAAAUAAUAGAAGUUAAAACUUUACAAUAUUAUUGCAAAAGGGACAUUAGAAUGUCAGCAAGGUUGGAACAAUUUUCGAUUUAAGUGGAAUUUACGGAAGGAUUCGAGUUUUGACCUCACAACUAAUCUGCAAAAUGAAGAAGCAACAUAUUUUGUUACCGCUUAGAAGAAACAAUAUAAAUAGUACUGUGGUUUGAUGAAUAAAGAGUGAAAAUAAGGUUGUCUAGAAGUUGAUAAAGUCCAAGGAAUUUAAAAACAAUAGAAA